rnacentral:misc_RNA from 1 species
CCGAGUGUGGGCUCCCCGCGAGCCCUACCUCCCACCCGUGUCUACCACUACCGCGUUGCUUUGGCGGGCCCACUGGGGCUCGGUCCCGGUCGCCGGGGGGGUCUCUCCCCUGGCCCGCGCCCGCCAGAGCGCCUCCGAACCCUGUGUGAACAGUGAGUCUGAGUCUCUAUUGAAUCAUUA